CGGACGCUGGCGGCGUGCUUAACACAUGCAAGUCGAACGGAAAGGCCCUGCUUUUGUGGGGUGCUCGAGUGGCGAACGGGUGAGUAACACGUGAGUAACCUGCCCUUGACUUUGGGAUAACUUCAGGAAACUGGGGCUAAUACCGGAUAGGAGCUCCUGCUGCAUGGUGGGGGUUGGAAAGUUUCGGCGGUUGGGGAUGGACUCGCGGCUUAUCAGCUUGUUGGUGGGGUAGUGGCUUACCAAGGCUUUGACGGGUAGCCGGCCUGAGAGGGUGACCGGCCACAUUGGGACUGAGAUACGGCCCAGACUCCUACGGGAGGCAGCAGUGGGGAAUAUUGCACAAUGGGCGGAAGCCUGAUGCAGCAACGCCGCGUGCGGGAUGACGGCCUUCGGGUUGUAAACCGCUUUCGCCUGUGACGAAGCGUGAGUGACGGUAAUGGGUAAAGAAGCACCGGCUAACUACGUG
rnacentral:rRNA from 1 species